GUGGGGAAUAUUGCACAAUGGGCGCAAGCCUGAUGCAGCAACGCCGCGUGAGGGAUGAAUGCCUUCGGGUUGUAAACCUCUUUUAGUAGGGAAGAAGCGAAAGUGACGGUACCUGCAGAAAAAGCACCGGCUAACUACGUGCCAGCAGCCGCGGUAAUACGUAGGGUGCAAGCGUUGUCCGGAAUUAUUGGGCGUAAAGAGCUCGUAGGCGGCUUGUCGCGUCUGCUGUGAAAACCCGAGGCUCAACCUCGGGCUUGCAGUGGGUACGGGCAGGCUAGAGUGCGGUAGGGGAGAUUGGAAUUCCUGGUGUAGCGGUGGAAUGCGCAGAUAUCAGGAGGAACACCGAUGGCGAAGGCAGAUCUCUGGGCCGCUACUGACGCUGAGGAGCGAAAGCAUGGGGAGCGAACAGGAUUAGAUACCCCUGUAGUCC
rnacentral:rRNA from 1 species